UACGGGGGGGGGCAAGCGUUGUUCGGAUUCAUUGGGCGUAAAGGGUGUGUAGGUGGCGCGCUAAGUCGGGUGUGAAAUUUCGGAGCUUAACUCCGAAAACUGCAUUCGAUACUGGCGUGCUUGAGGACUGGAGAGGAGACUGGAAUUCAUGGUGUAGCAGUGAAAUGCGUAGAGAUCAUGAGGAAGACCAGUGGCGAAGGCGGGUCUCUGGGCCGACAUUGACGCUGAGGAGCGAAAGCGUGGGGAGCAACAGG
rnacentral:rRNA from 1 species